rnacentral:rRNA from 1 species
CCUACGGGUGGCAGCAGUGAGGAAUAUUGGUCAAUGGCCGUAAGGCUGAACCAGCCAAGUCGCGUGAAGGAAGAAGGAUCUAUGGUUUGUAAACUUCUUUUAUAGGGGAAUAAAGGUAUCCACGUGUGGAUAUUUGCAUGUACCCUAUGAAUAAGCAUCGGCUAACUCCGUGCCAGCAGCCGCGGUAAUACGGAGGAUGCGAGCGUUAUCCGGAUUUAUUGGGUUUAAAGGGUGCGUAGGCGGGCGUUUAAGUCAGCGGUAAAAAGUCGGGGCUCAACCCCGGCCGGCCGUUGAAACUGGGAGCCGUGAGUGGGCGAGAAGAAGGCGGAAUGCGUGGUGUAGCGGUGAAAUGCAUAGAUAUCACGCAGAACCCCGAUUGCGAAGGCAGCAUGCCGGCGCCCUACUGACGCUGAGGCACGAAAGUGCGGGGAUCGAACAGGAUUAGAUACCCGAGUAGUC